UUGAACGCUGGCGGCAGGCCUAACACAUGCCAGUCGAGCGGAUGAAGGGAGCUUGCUCCUGGAUUCAGCGGCGGACGGGUGAGUAAUGCCUAGGAAUCUGCCUGGUAGUGGGGGAUAACGUCCGGAAACGGGCGCUAAUACCGCAUACGUCCUGAGGGAGAAAGUGGGGGAUCUUCGGACCUCACGCUAUCAGAUGAGCCUAGGUCGGAUUAGCUAGUUGGUGGGGUAAAGGCCUACCAAGGCGACGAUCCGUAACUGGUCUGAGAGGAUGAUCAGUCACACUGGAACUGAGAUACGGUCCAGACUCCUACGGGAGGCAGCAGUGGGGAAUAUUGGACAAUGGGCGAAAGCCUGAUCCAGCCAUGCCGCGUGUGUGAAGAAGGUCUUCGGAUUGUAAAGCACUUUAAGUUGGGAGGAAGGGCAGUAAGUUAAUACCUUGCUGUUUUGACGUUACCAACAGAAUAAGCACCGGCUAACUUCGUG
rnacentral:rRNA from 1 species